CCCGAUUUCAGCAAACUUGGAAGUCCAAGAGGCUCAACCACUAAGUUAACUUAGUGGUUGAGCCUCUCAAUCAGGAUUUCUGAAUUUCAAAGUUUUCUGAAAUCGGGGAGGAAGGCGAGGAUGACGCCAGGUCAGCAUGUCCCUAGAUAUCUUGGGCCACACGCAUAAUACAAUCGCCGCUACAACGGGUCGCGACGGGGUAACCCCGAGCUAAUCCUAAGAAAAGCGGCGUCAGUUCGGAUUGGGGGCUGAAACUCGACCCCAUGAAGUUGGAAUUGCUAGUAAUCGCGGGUCAGCUAUACCGCGGUGAAUACGUUCUCAAGUCUUGUACUCACAAUAAAAGCGCGCAGCAGCUUAGUAAUCUAAGUGGUUAAAGUCCACUUCU
rnacentral:rRNA from 1 species